GUAUGCAAUACGAGCGGCAGACGGGUGAGUAACGCGUAGGAAUCUACCUUUUUCUACGGGAAAACCCAUGAAAAAGUGUGGUCUAAUACCGGUAUACCCCCUAUUGGGGGGAAAGAUUUUAUUGGAGAGAGAUGAACCUUGCGUGGGAUUAGCUAGUUGGUAGGGUAAAAGCCUACCAAGGCGUACGAUCUUAUAGCUGGUCUGAGAGGAGCGAUCAGCCACACUGGGACUGAGACACGGCCCAGACUCCUACGGGAGGCAAGCAGUGGGGGAAUAUUGGACCAAUGGGGGCAACCCUGAUCCAGCCAUGCCGCGUGAGUGAAGAAGGCCUUAGGGUUGUAAAGCUCUUUCGCCGGAGAAGAUAAUGACGGUAUUCGGAGAAGAAGCCCCGGCUAACUUCGUGCCAGCAGCCGCGGUAAUACGAAGGGGGCGAGCGUUGUUCGGAAUAACUGGGCGUAAAGGGCGCGUAGGCGGGCGAUUAAGUUAGAGGUGAAAUCCCAGGGCUCAACCUUGGAACUGCCUUUAAUACUGGUUGUCUAGAGUUUAGGAGAGGUGAGUGGAAUUCCGAGUGUAGAGGUGAAAUUCGUAGAUAUUCGGAGGAACACCGGUGGCGAAGGCGGCUCACUGGCCUGAUACUGACGCUGAGGCGCGAAAGCGUGGGGAGCAAACAGGAUUAGAUACCCUGGUAGUCCACGCCGUAAACGAUGAGUGCUAACUGUUGGGUGGUUUACCAUUCAGUGGCGCAGCUAACGCAUUAAGCACUCCGCCUGGGGAGUACGGCCGCAAGAUUAAAACUCAAAAGGAAUUGACGGGGGCCCGCACAAGCGGUGGAGCAUGUGGUUUAAUUCGAUGCAACGCGCAGAACCUUACCAGCCCUUGACAUGUAUAGGACGAAUAUCAAAGAUGGUAUUUUCUUUUCGGAGACCUUUACACAGGUGGCUGCAUGGCUGCCCUCACCCCGUGACGUGGAAAUGUUGGGGUUAAGUCCCGCAACGAGCGCAACCCCUGCCUCUAGUUGCCAUCAAGUUUAGGUUUUUACCUAGAUGUUGGGUACUUUAUAGGGACUGCCGGUGAUAAGCCGGAGGAAGGUGGGGAUGACGUCAAGUCCUCAUGGCCCUUAUGGGCUGGGCUACACACGUGCUACAAUGGUGGUUACAAUGGGUUGCGAAGUCGCGAGGC
rnacentral:rRNA from 1 species